rnacentral:tRNA from 1 species
UCAGGUCGGCGUGCCGGCCCUGGUGGUGUUCCUCAACAAGUGCGACAUGGUCGAUGACGAGGAGCUGCUGGAGCUGGUGGAACUGG